rnacentral:lncRNA from 1 species
GAAUAUUAUACCCAGGAGGCUUUGUCACAAGGCAUCUUUAUCCUGUCAGUAAAUAUUUUAAUUCUACAUGAAGCAGAAAAUUGUUUAUUGUUGGGGUGGAUGCAAAAGUGAUACAUAAUAGCUUAGAAGACAAAGUCCCUUGUUUUACCAGCUGUUUAGGCAUCUUUGUACCCUUCCUUGAUUUGGAGGGUCUGACCUUGACCUAACUCUAUCCCUCAAAACUGGCCCUUACAAUCUCACGCACCCGCCUCUUCCAUGACAGUCACUGGACCUAGAGGGAGGAUGCUUGUAUAGUUUUAGCAGCAGGGCAUCUGCAGUGAAAAACAGAUCCGGCCCAGUGAGAUGACAAAUGAGGGAGAUUGACAUCUCUGGUGUUCAGAAUACCAUGAUUUGGGCUUCCUUGAAAGUAAAACAAGGAGAGAUAAUAACAUUAAUGUUUUGACAAUCAAAGGGUAUUUGUGGGCCGGUGGCUCACGUCUGUAAUUCCAGCACUUCAGGAGGCCGAGGCAGGUGGAUCACUUGAGGUCAGGAGUUCAAGACCAGCCUGGCCAACAUGGUGAAACCCUGUCUCUACUAAAAAUACAAAAAUUAGCUGGACAUGGUGGCAGGCAUCUGUAAUCCCAGCUACUUGGGAGGCUGAGGCAGGAGAAUCGCUUGAACCCAAGAGGCGGAGGUUGCAGAGAGCCGAGAUCGCACCAUUGCACUCCAGCCUGGGCAACAAGAGCAAAACUCCAUCUGAAAAAAAAAAAAAAAGAACCUAUUCCAUCCAUUAGGGCACCAACUAAAGAUAUGAAGAAAAAUUAUAAUCUGGUACUCUCCAGAGGAUUAUUGUAGCCAAGAAAUAAUGCAUGAUUCAAUCUGCACUCAAAAAAAAAUUGAGGGCUAAAAUCUAGUAUCAAAUGUUACACUUUUCCUUUGAAACAAUUUCUCUUUCUCUAGCCCCUUUUUAUCUAUUAAAGAGAAAUUACAGUAAGACUAAUUUGUGUGCAAAGUGAGUUUUAGUCUUAUAUACUUGACCUGAUUAUUGCAUAAAAUGCAGCAGGGAAUGAUUGGCUAUAUAGGCCCCUUUUUAGUUGCUUUGCUGGAACUUUACCUGAAAACAUGCUAUAGCUAAUUUUUGUACAAUACCCAUUUUCAUAAGAUAUUUAGGUAAAGGGGUUGCAAGUACCUUACAUAAAGCCUUUUUAAACAUCUUAAAUUUCAUAAUUCUAUUAACCUGUAUGUUUUAUGUUCUGGUCCUAGGAACUUUUUUUUCCUACCUCCAGACCAUUUUACCUUUUCUGGUUCCCAGCAGGGAGUGGCAUCUGUAAGACCCAUGACGGAUGACAAGUUGAGAAGCCUUCUCAAACAGUUGUAUGAUUCUGUGGGAGGGGCACCCAUGUAAAAGGGGCCCCCUAAACCCCCAGAUUUACCAUGACCUGGGUAAUAGGCAUAUUCAGUGGGAGGAUAUCCCCGUCAUCAUACAGCCAGUCCCACACGGCUCUCAUAUUUAUCUGAAUAAACGCCACUGUAAGAUCUGUUUGCCUUGAGAAGGGAACUGCCCAACUCUCCCUGUAAAAUGCCAAGUGGAGCCCCCCCGAUGAAGCGGUUGAUAUGCUUCUCAUAAUUCCGGAGAAUUCCUGAGAACUCUCGAGAAUAAGCUCCUGUGCGUUUAGCUCACAUACACUCAUCAGUGAUCGCCCUAUAGGGAACUGUGGGUCCUGCAUCAACUCAAACGAGCUCUUAAAUUUUGUAGCAUUUAAAAUUAAGGAUUUUUGUCUUUAAAGUAGUGAUUUUUACAAUAAAUUACCCAAAAGGCUUCUCAAGAAGCUGAUGAUACCAAUAUACAAAAUGGAACAAUUCCUUUAUAUUAUUCCUUGUAGCUAUAGUAGGUACUUGGUUUUGCCCUUCCCCCACAUCGACUGUCUUCUUGGUAACCACAGGUCUCAGAGUUAACUUGGAUGUAGGAAUUGGAGGAAGCCAGAGGGGUAGCGGGAAAUCAGGCAUGAAGAGCCCCAGGCCUCACCUGCGCCCCUCUCUCUUGAGCCCAGGAUUAAUUUCAGACAGCAGAGACCGAACCCCCUUUGCCUAUCAUAUCCCUGGGAGCCACCACUGAAUCAGCCACCACUGCACUUGGAAAGGGUAGGACUCAUGCCAAAGAUGGGACACCAUGCCGACAUUAUCUUGAGGCCCAAGCCUACAUUAUCUUGUGGCAGAGACAAGACCACCACAGUUUCAUGGUCCCACGCAACAUGGCACCUGGUGAGCCCCAGAAAGGCACCACACAUAGAGCUUCAGAAGCUGCCAUUCCCACGUCUGACCACGCGGGGGCGACGAACCCUCAGAUUGGGCCGCGCCCUUAGGCGGAGCUGCCCUGAUCCCAGACCCAGGGGAGCCGUGAAAACCCACUGGGCGUCCCAGGGCAGCGCUGCCCUGAGAGCUGCAAACCGAAAGUAUCUGCCCCCGGGCCAGAGCGCUCGGGGCCUGGUCGUGUUACGCAGCUGGAAAGCUUGGACCCUUCGGCGGCGUGGGAUAAGGCGAGUUUGCCGGCAGAGCCAGCAGCUCGCCCCCGCCUGAAAUUCCAAUUCGCAGGGACGGGGAUGGUGACACCUGAGGCAAUUCCUCGGCUACAAAGCAUCAUGUCUCAUCUUCUUGAGCCAGUUUCUUCUUCUGUAAAAGGGAAAUGGUACUGGCAUUCAUAAGAUUUUGCAGGAUCAAAGCAGAAAAUCAUUAGGAAAACACUUUGCAAACUGUAGAGAACAUUGCAAAUGUUAUAUAUCAGGGUUUUUAAGAAAACUUUUAAAUAUUCUCUAUUUGGAGAAAGAGGUAGGAAAAUUCUGGAGAUAUAGUAACGAACAAAAUGUACCAUAUGUCUGGCAAAAUCUGUACCAGGUAUCUGGCAAAAUCUGUCCCUGUGUUUCUUUUUGAAAUUGACUUGAAUUUUAUUUCCAUUCUUAGCUGUUUAAUAUUUUGCUUAAUUUUGAAAUUGCUCAUUCUUCAUGCUACAGCCAGUGUGAUCUUUUAAAGAAGGAAAUAUGAUCUACAACUACAUGUAAUGAACGGAUGAACAUCAUAAACAUAGCGUUGAGUUAAAAACCCAGAUAGAAAACAGCACCUGCUGGAUGACCGCGUUUACAUGGAAAGUACAAAAACAGGCAAAUAGUUGGAAGUCAAGAUAGUGGUUACUCUAGGGGAAUGAGUGGAAGGGGUGCUUUUAGGAUGCUGGUAAUGUUCUAUAAAAUUCACUGGGUUAUACAUUUCUGCACUUUUUUCUGGAUACAUUAUAUCACACCUCAGUGAAAAGUAAAUACUGUAUGGGGGAAGGAAGUGAAUGAAGCUGAUCGUGUCUCCACCCGCCUAAAAGCGUUCAGUAGAUUCUGAUUCUUGUGAAUGUGAAAUCUGUCCUCCUUUACCAGGUCCACCUGGUGCCCCUGGCUUCAUCACCAAUGGGCUUACCAUGGCCACACGGGUCCUCUUUCAGGCCCUUGUGUCACUCUCUCCCAUGCUGACCAGCUCUGGCCACAAAGCUGCCUCUUCCAUCACUGGGAGCUCUUCCCCACCUCGGAGCUGUUCCCGUCACCUGGAUUGUCUUCCCUCCACAUUCCUGCCACCUCCUUCUGCUCAGCCUAAAGGUCACUUUCUCACAGAAGCUGUCCCUGAGCCUCAAUCUAAAUUGCAUCCCCACAAGGACACAAAGAUGUGAGCAAUAAACACUAAGGAUUCCAGAAGGGGGGAUGGAGGAGAGCAAAAGUUGAAAAACUACCUGUUGGGUACUAUAUUCACUGCUUGGGCGACGGGAUCGUUGGAAGCCCAAACCUCAGCAUCAUGCAAUACACCCGUGCAACAAACCUGCACACGUACUUUCUGAAUCUAAAAGAAUUUCUAAAAUAAAAUAAAUUGUACCCCCUUAGUUCUUUCUGAGCACCCUCUUUUUAUCUUCAUAACACCAUCAUUUGUAUUUAUGGAAUGAUUAUGCAUCAUUAUUUGGUAAAUGACCUCACCAGCUAGACUCUAAAUCAAAAAGGGCUGGGGCUGUAUCUGACAUAUUCUCAGUUGUAUCAGCAGCACCUAGCACGGCAUCUAACAUAAAUGAUACUUAUUUGUGGUUUGGCUUAAUACAAAAAAAAAAAAAAAAACUUUGGGAGGGGAGGGAAUUCAAUCAACAGACAAAAAAUAAUGCUAUGUAGGGGAAAGAGAAACAAAAUGUUCACAGGUAUUGUAUUAGUGUUGUAAGAACAUGGGCGUUCUUUUUCUUUCUUUAAUAUCACCUAUUUAAUCUCUUAUGUUCUUUUUAUGAUUAAGAAAAUAAAAAACCUUACAAAUAUU